CCGGGCGACAAUAUCGCUGGGGAGACACCUCUUCCCAUUUCGAACAGAGAAGUUAAGCCCAGCAGAGCCGAUGGUACUGCACUGGCAACGGUGUGGGAGAGUAGGACAUCGCCGGAA
rnacentral:rRNA from 1 species